rnacentral:rRNA from 1 species
UACGUAGGGUGCGAGCGUUAAUCGGAAUUACUGGGCGUAAAGCGUGCGCAGGCGGAUUGUUAAGCAAGACGUGAAAUCCCCGGGCUUAACCUGGGAAUGGCGUUUUGAACUGGCAGUCUAGAGUGCGUCAGAGGGGGGUGGAAUUCCACGUGUAGCAGUGAAAUGCGUAGAGAUGUGGAGGAACACCGAUGGCGAAGGCAGCCCCCUGGGAUGACACUGACGCUCAUGUACGAAAGCGUGGGUAGCAAACAGGAUUAGAAACCCUAGUAGUCC